rnacentral:rRNA from 1 species
GACGAACGCUGGCGGCGUGCUUAACACAUGCAAGUCGAGCGGUAAGGCCCUUUCGGGGGUACACGAGCGGCGAACGGGUGAGUAACACGUGGGUGACCUGCCCUCAGCUCUGGGAUAAGCCUGGGAAACCGGGUCUAAUACUGGAUAUGACUCCAUGACGCAUGUUGUGGGGUGGAAAGCCUUGUGCGGCUGAGGAUGGGCCCGCGGCCUAUCAGCUUGUUGGUGGGGUGANGGCCUACCAAGGCGUACGACGGGUAGCCGGCCUGAGAGGGCGACCGGCCACACUGGGACUGAGACACGGCCCAGACUCCUACGGGAGGCAGCAGUGGGGAAUCUUGCGCAAUGGGCGAAAGCCUGACGCAGCGACGCCGCGUGAGGGAUGACGGCCUCGGUUGUAA